rnacentral:rRNA from 1 species
CCUACGGGUGGCAGCAGUGAGGAAUAUUGGUCAAUGGGCGGGAGCCUGAACCAGCCAAGCCGCGUGAGGGAAGAAGGUACAGCGUAUCGUAAACCUCUUUUGUCAGGGAACAAAGGCGGGGACUAGUCCCCGGAUGAGGGUACCUGAAGAAAAAGCAUCGGCUAACUCCGUGCCAGCAGCCGCGGUAAUACGGAGGAUGCGAGCGUUAUCCGGAUUUAUUGGGUUUAAAGGGUGCGCAGGCGGCCUGUUAAGUCAGCGGUAAAAGCCCGGGGCUCAACCCCGGCGAGCCGUUGAAACUGGCGGGCUGGAGUUGGAGAGAAGUACGCGGAAUGCGCGGUGUAGCGGUGAAAUGCUUAGAUAUGACGAAGAACCCCGAUUGCGAAGGCAGCUUGCUGCAGCGGAACUGACGCUGAUGCUCGAAAGCGCGGGUAUCGAACAGGAUUAGAUACCCCUGUAGUC